rnacentral:rRNA from 1 species
CAAGUCGAGCGGAACGAGUUAUCUGAACCUUCGGGGAACGAUAACGGCGUCGAGCGGCGGACGGGUGAGUAAUGCCUAGGAAAUUGCCCUGAUGUGGGGGAUAACCAUUGGAAACGAUGGCUAAUACCGCAUGAUGCCUACGGGCCAAAGAGGGGGACCUUCGGGCCUCUCGCGUCAGGAUAUGCCUAGGUGGGAUUAGCUAGUUGGUGAGGUAAGGGCUCACCAAGGCGACGAUCCCUAGCUGGUCUGAGAGGAUGAUCAGCCACACUGGAACUGAGACACGGUCCAGACUCCUACGGGAGGCAGCAGUGGGGAAUAUUGCACAAUGGGCGCAAGCCUGAUGCAGCCAUGCCGCGUGUAUGAAGAAGGCCUUCGGGUUGUAAAGUACUUUCAGUCGUGAGGAAGGCGGCGUCGUUAAUAGCUGCAUUGUUUGACGUUAGCGACAGAAGAAGCACCGGCUAACUCCGUGCCAG